AUUGAUUAUUUUUUUUCUUAUGUAUAUUAGUUUCGUUUAUUUAUUUGUUUUUAUUAUUUCUAUGCCAUUGUUGUAUUUAUUAUUGUUGUAUUUGUUAUUGCGACAUUUAUACAUACAAUAUAACAUUACAUCAUCUUUUACUUGAAUUUAGAAAUAGAAAAAUUUCAAAAUAGAGAUAAUACUCGCAUUUGGGAUUCUCAAGAAAAUUGAGCCCUAACGUAUU
rnacentral:lncRNA from 1 species